rnacentral:tRNA from 1 species
GCCUACAUGGUGUAAAGGUAGCACACUCGGCGCAGAUUCGAGAGGCCCAGGUUCGAGUCCCGACGAGGGCA